CGCGGAGUAGAGCAGUGGUUAGCUCGUCGGGCUCAUAACCCGAAGGUCGGGAGUUCAAAUCUCCCCUUCGCAACCA
rnacentral:tRNA from 1 species